AGAAAACAGUGUUUUUAUUAAAUUUUUGAUUUUAGAAUGCGAUAUUUAAUUUGCUCAUUGAUAUGUUAUGCAUCUAUUAAUUUUUCUUUGGAAACUACCAAACUGAAAUUGUGUGCAGUGGUAUCUCUCCCCAAUUUGGCUUGCUCAUCACACUUAUAUACUCUAGAACGCUACUUUCUGCAGUUAAUUAAGAUUUUCCAAUAAGUGAAAGAGAAUUAAAGAUCAAUUUGGCCAUUCUGAACAACUGAUGUCUACAUGGGUGGCGUUUUCCUGGAGUUUGUUCUUGAUUUGCAGUUUUCGCCUCCACCUUGCAACAUUAUGCAGUUAAUUCUCAAAGGAUGAGAGAGCAACUAGAGAUGUAUUUGAACUCUAUCAAAAAGAUAAAUUUGCUGCUAUAGAUUCCUCUUGGAUUUCAUUUGCUUUCCACAACUGCAAACUUUGGAACGUUACAAUUUACAGUUAAUUAAGAUCGACGAGGGAGAAGACAAAGAAGAUCCCGUAGUUAAAAUACUUCUAUAUCUUGCAUGUUCUAUUAGACACAAUUAAAUUAAUUUUUUAUUUUGCAUGGUUUUUGUAGUUUAUUUUAUUUGAAGUAAUUGUUGAUUGUAGACGUU